CGGCGGUCUGGCUGUCAAUCAUCCACAGGCUCUCCCAGAGCUUGCUAAGGUGCCUGGCAACACCUGCCGAAGUCGACAACUCACAGAGACCCAUCAUUCCACCGGCAGGACAGAAGGACAAACUAUGUUCUCAGCAGUGCUCACACUGCUUUGGGACCAAGAUGCCAUUAAGCUUUAUGCCUCUGACACGCACGGGCAGAUGUGGGAGACACCGGGCACCACGUAGGGGGAGGCUGAUGGCAGGGCACGGAGUAGGGUGUGCUUCGGAGCCACAGUGCUGGUGCCGGGCCCCUGCAGGGGUCCUGCACCGUGGGUGUUGAAGCACUGUUUUCUGGGCGCAGAGUGUCAGGCCGGCCUAGGAAGUGCUGUGAGCCAGGACUUAACUACAGAAAGCUCUGUGGUCUGCGCUGAACACCCUACACAGUCAUUCCUGCUACCUGGAGGGGGUUAGUCCCAGGAACCCUGCAGACGCCAGCAUCCAAGGAUGCUCCCGUCCUUCAUUUAUUAUUAUUAUUUUAUUAGGGACAGGGUCAUGCUGUGCAGUCCAUGGCAAACUCGGCAGUCUUCCUGCCUCAGCCUCCCCAGUGCCGGGAUAGCAGGUGAGCAACAGACACUACGCCUACCUGGAGCGCACAAGUGAUUGCAUAGAACGAUGCUCGUCCCCUGUACCUUAAGUCUCCUCACUGCGGGGCUUGGCUAACGUGACAUGGCUCAGGCUGUUACUGGGGUUCGGGUGCCAGAGUCUCCUUCUGGAGCUCGUUUCUGGAUUCUUCUUGACCUGAACAAAGAAUUGGACGACACAAGUGUGAGAGGCAGCAGGCUGUUACACGUGUCCAAGGCGGCUCUGCAGAGCGCGUGCUGGCCAGUGGCAGGUAGGAGGUCACACCCUGCAGGUGCAGUGUGGGCCGUGGGAGGGCUGGGUCCUCAGCUUGGCGCCUCUGUCUUUCACCCGCCUCCCCAGGAGACUCGGCUCUGUCACAUCAAGCACUGCUCUGGUGCUGCACCUGUUCACCUGAGCUGAAAUACAGUUGGAAAUCUUGGACACCAGGUGUGUGGGGACACCUGUGACCUCGGCAUCGGGAAGCUGAGUCAGGAGGAUUGCCACAAGUUUCAGGCCAGUCUGAACCACACAGUGGGCCCUCAUCUCACACUGCCCCCAGACACACAGAACUGGGCACCUUGUAUUCUUUCUGGAACCGUAUGGCCCAGGGAAGCGGUUACACUGUGAAGUGGUCAAAACACUGGGAGGGUGUGUUACACGUGCCCUCAUAGAGCCUGAUUCCUUUAUCAGAAGCACUGGGCCAAAUGCUGGUAGCUGUUAUCCAGCAAUUCUUUUCCUCUUUCUAUUAGUAGUAGAAGUUCCACAUUCACUCUGACAGUAAGGAGGAGAGAGGAGAAGAGAGUGAAGGAGAGAGGGAGAGAGAGGGCUCAGCAUCCCUUGCAGCUAGAAACCACCAGGUGCGUAUAAGUGAUAGCAGCCUGGAUACCUUCAGGUUCAUGUCCUUAAAGGGACAUAUGCCCCUUUGCCCACUCACUGGAACAAAGAUGAGGUGGUUGGAUCUGCGCAGCCACCUUGGGACAAAAGACAAAGGC
rnacentral:lncRNA from 1 species